rnacentral:rRNA from 1 species
UGGGGAAUUUUGCACAAUGGGGGAAACCCUGAUGCAGCGACGCCGCGUGAUUUAGAAGGCCUUCGGGUUGACAAAAUCUUUUCUAUGGGAAGAAAAUGACAGUACCAUAGGAAUAAGGACCGGCUAAUUACGUGCCAGCAGCCGCGGUAAUACGUAAGGUCCGAGCGUUGUCCGGAAUCAUUGGGCGUAAAGGGUACGUAGGCGGGUAAGCAAGUUAGAAGUGCAAUCCUAUAGCUCAACUAUAGUAAGCUUUUAAAACUGCUCAUCUUGAGGUAUGGAAGGGAAAGUGGAAUUCCUAGUGUAGCGGUGAAAUGCGCAGAUAUUAGGAGGAAUACCGGUGGCGAAGGAGACUUUCUGGCCAUAACCUGACGCUGAGGUACGAAAGCGUGGGUAGCAAACAGG